rnacentral:rRNA from 1 species
UGCCGCGUGUAGUGAUGAAGGCCCCCGGGUUGUAAACUACUUUUGUUCGGAACGAAAAGCUCUCUUCUAAUAAAGGAUAGUGAUGACGGUACCGUAAGAAUAAGCACCGGCUAACUUCGUGCCAGCAGCCGCGGUAAUACGUAGGGUGCGAGCGUUAAUCGGAAUUACUGGGCGUAAAGCGUGCGUAGGCGGUUAUUUAAGACAGAUGUGAAAUCCCCGGGCUCAACCUGGGAACGGCCUUUGUGACUGCAUAGCUAGAGUACGGUAGAGGGUGAUGGAACUCCGCGUGUAGCAGUGAAAUGCGUAGAUAUGCGGAGGAACAUCGAUGGCGAAGGCAAACCCCUGGACCUGUACUGACGCUCAUGCACGAAAGCGUGGGGAGCAAACAGGAUUAGAUACCCUGGUAGUCCACGCCCUAAACGAUGUCAACUGGUUGUUGGGAAUUAACUUUCUCAGUAACGAAGCUAACGCGUGAAGUUGACCGCCUGGGGAGUACGGCCGCAAGGUUGAAACUCUCAGGAAUUGACGGGGACCCGCACAAGCGGUGGAUGAUGUGGUUUAUUUUUAUGUAACGCGAAAAACCUUAUCCACCUUUGACAUGUACGGAAGUG